UACGGAGGGGGCUAGCGUUGUUCGGAAUUACUGGGCGUAAAGCGCACGUAGGCGGCUUUGUAAGUUAGAGGUGAAAGCCCGGGGCUCAACUGCGGAAUUGCCUUUAAGACUGCAUCGCUAGAAUUGUGGAGAGGUAAGUGGAAUUCCGAGUGUAGAGGUGAAAUUCGUAGAUAUUCGGAAGAACACCAGUGGCGAAGGCGACUUACUGGGCCCAUAUUGACGCUGAGGUGCGAAAGCGUGGGGAGCAGACAGG
rnacentral:rRNA from 1 species